rnacentral:rRNA from 1 species
AGUGAACGCUGGCGGUAGGCCUAACACAUGCAAGUCGAACGGCAGCACAGUAAGAGCUUGCUCUUACGGGUGGCGAGUGGCGGACGGGUGAGGAAUACAUCGGAAUCUACUUUUUCGUGGGGGAUAACGUAGGGAAACUUACGCUAAUACCGCAUACGACCUACGGGUGAAAGCAGGGGAUCUUCGGACCUUGCGCGAUUGAAUGAGCCGAUGUCGGAUUAGCUAGUUGGCGGGGUAAAGACCCACCAAGGCGACGAUCCGUAGCUGGUCUGAGAGGAUGAUCAGCCACACUGGAACUGAGACACGGUCCAGACUCCUACGGGAGGCAGCAGUGGGGAAUAUUGGACAAUGGGCGCAAGCCUGAUCCAGCCAUACCGCGUGGGUGAAGAAGGCCUUCGGGUUGUAAAGCCCUUUUGUUGGGAAAGAAAAGCAGCAGGCUAAUACCCCGCUGUUCUGACGGUACCCAAAGAAUAAGCACCGGCUAACUUCGCG